UUGCUCUGGGGCUGUUGCUAUAGGUCUGUUGCUCUAGGUCUAGGUAUGUUGCUCUAGGUCUGUUGCUAUAGGUCUGUUGCUCUAGGUCUAGGUCUGUUGCUCUAGGUAUGUUGCUCUAGGUCUGUUGCUAUAGGUCUGUUGCUCUAGGUCUAGGUCUGUUGCUCUAGGUCUAGGUCUGUUGCUCUAGGUCUGUUGCUCUAGGUCUGUUGCUCUAGGUCUGUUGUUCUAGGUCGGUUGCUCUAGGUCUGUUGCUCUGGGUCUGUUGCUCUAGGUCUGUUGCUCUGGGUCUGUUGGUCUGGGUCUGUUGCUCUAGGUCUGUUGCUCUGGGUCUGUUGCUCUGGGUCUGUUGCUCUGGGUCUGUUGCUCUAGGUCUGUUGCUCUGGGUCUAGGUCUGUUGCUCUAGGUCUGUUGUUCUAGGUCUGUUGCUCUAAGUCUGUUGUUCUGGGUCUGUUGUUCUGGGUCUGCUGGUCUGGGGCUGUUGCUCUGGGGCUGUUGCUAUAGGUAUGUUGUUAUAGGUAUGUUGCUCUAGGUCUGUUGCUCUAGGUCUGUUGCUCUGGGGCUGUUGCUCUAGGUCUAGGUCUGUUGCUCUAGGUCUGUUGUUCUAGGUCUGUUGCUCUAGGUCUGUUGUUCUAGGUCUGUUGCUCUAGGUCUGCUGGUCUGGGUCUGUUGCUCUGUCUGUUGCUCUAGGUCUGUUGCUCUGGGUCUGUUGCUCUAGGUCUGUUGCUCUGGGUAUGUUGCUCUAGGUCUGUUGCUCUAGGUCUGUUGCUCUGGGUAUGUUGCUCUAGGUCUAGGUCUGUUGCUCUGGGUCUGUUGCUCUGGGUCUGUUGCUCUGGGCCUGUCGCUCUAGGUCUGUUGCUCUAGGUCUGUUGUUAUAGGUAUGUUGCUCUAGGUAUGUUGCUCUAGGUCUGUUGCUCUAGGUCUGUUGCUCUAGGUCUAGGUCUGUUGCUCUGGGUCUGUUGCUAUAGAUAUGUUGCUCUGGGUCUGGUGCUCUAUGUCUAGGUCUGUUUCAAAAGGUCUGUUGCUCUGGGUCUAGGUCUGUUGUUCUAGGUCUGUUGCUCUAGGUCUAGGUCUGUUGCUCUGGGUCAUUUGCUAUAGAUAUGUUGCUCUGGGUAUGUUGCUCUAGGUCUAGGUCUGUUGCUCUGGGUCUGUUGCUCUGGGUCUGUUGCUCUAGGUCUGUUGUUAUAGGUAUGUUGCUCUAGGUAUGUUGCUCUAGGUCUGUUGCUCUAGGUCUAGGUAUGUUGCUCUAGGUAUGUUGCUCUGGGGCUGUUGCUCUGGGGCUGUUGCUACAGGUCUGUUGCUCUAGGUCUAGGUCUGUUGCUCUAGGUCUGUUGUUCUAGGUCGGUUGCUCUAGGUCUGUUGCUCUGGGUCUGUUGCUCUAGGUCUGUUGUUCUGGGUCUGUUGCUCUGGGUCUGUUGCUCUGGGUCUGUUGCUCUGGGUCUGUUGCUCUGGGUCUGUUGCUCUGGGUCUGUUGCUCUGGGUCUGUUGCUCUAGGUCUGUUGCUCUGGGUCUGUUGCUCUAGGUCUGUUGCUCUAGGUCUGUUGCUCUAGGUCUGUUGCUCUAGGUCUAGGUCUGUUGCUCUAGGUCUGUUGCUCUAGGUCUAGGUCUGUUGCUCUAGGUCUGUUGCUCUAGGUCUGUUGCUCUAGGUAUAGGUAUGUUGCUCUAGGUCUGUUGCUCUAGGUCUAGGUCUGUUGCUCUAGGUCUGUUGCUCUAGGUCUAGGUCUGUUGCUCUAGGUCUGUUGCUCUAGGUCUGUUGCUCUAGGUCUGUUGCUCUAGGUCUGUUGCUCUAGGUAUGUUGCUCUAGGUCUGUUGCUCUGGGGCUGUUGCUAUAGGUCUGUUUCUCUAGGUCUAGGUCUGUUGCUCUAGGUCUAGGUCUGUUGUUCUAGGUCUGUUCUAGGUCGGUUGCUCUGGGUCUGUUGCUCUGGGUCUGUUGCUCUAGGUCUGUUGCUCUGGGUCUGUUGCUCUGGGUCUGUUGCUCUAGGUCUAGGUCUGUUGCUCUGGGUCUGUUGCUCUAGGUCUGUUGCUCUGGGUCUGUUGCUCUAGGUCUGUUGCUCUGGGUCUGUUGCUCUGGGUCUGUUGCUCUGGGUCUGUUGCUCUGGGUCUGUUGCUCUGGGUCUGUUGCUCUAGGUCUGUUGCUCUGGGUAUGUUGCUCUAGGUCUGUUGCUCUAGGUCUGUUGCUCUAGGUCUAGGUCUGUUGCUCUAGGUCUGUUGCUCUAGG